rnacentral:lncRNA from 1 species
GGCAGGCACCCUGGGGGGUCUGAGAGGCCAGGGAGGGGGUCUGGGCCAGCUCCCUAACAGAGGGCCUGGCUGCUGGAGAAGCAGCUCAGAACACAGAGAUGGCCAUGCCUCUCCCAAAGACCUCUGCCUGUGAGCCUCAGCUACUUGCCCAAGAGCCAUCCUAGAAAGGAGAAGUACUGGUUACAUCCCAGGUAAGCCAGCAGCCAGGUGACACUUGGUCACUUCUAGAUGUGGUAACUAACUGGAUUUUUCCUCAGGCUGAUAGGGUGCGUAAAAAGAUGAGGAAAUGGAGGCUUCAAGGUCAAACCCCUUGCCCAGAGACAUGCAGCAGAAAGUGAUGAAGCUGAGAUUUGAACUUGCACCUGUCUGCCUGCAAAUCCCAUCUCUUCCUGCUGUGCCAGAGACAGCAGAAGGGCCCACGGCUGUGUAGAUGUGGCCUAUUAGCCUCUCAAGUCUAGAGCAAGCCCCUCAGUGUGGGGCCCCUCCCUAGCCGCACUUCCUGCCACACCUGUCCUUCAAGCAGCCGCCUUUCUUUAGAACCCCACGUCUACUGUGGUGAUCACUCUGCAUAGCUGCUUUAGAAACAUAUGAAGAUAACAGAAGGAUCUCAUCUGCAACCCAGAGCUCUCUGUGCCUGGUGGUGACUCCCAAGAAGCUCCCAUAAGGAAGAGGUCCCUCAAAGAACACACUGAACACAGUGGACCCUCUGCUGCCAAAACAGGCAGGGAAGCAUCUCCUGGAGCCUGCUUGGUCAGCUCUGCUCUCAGAAGCUUGGAGGGCAAACGGGGGUGACUGGACCCAGCUGGAAUAAUGGAAAGAAUGGGAACUAGCACUUAGAAGCACCUACUGUGUUCCAGAAAUUCUGGUGCAUUUAUCUGUGUAGCCUUCAAAAUAGCUCUGUUGGGUUGAUAGUAUUUUUGCCCCAUGUUAUGGUAUAAGAAACUGAGUUCAGAGAGGUUAGGUAACUUGAAUCAGGCCAUAAAGCACUUAAGCCCAAA